UACGUAGGGUGCAAGCGUUAAUCGGAAUCAUUGGGCGUAAAGCGCACGUAGGCGGUCCGUUAAGUCUCUUGGUGAAAGGCUGGGGCUCAACCCUAUGCAUGCCGGGGAUACUGGGGGACUGGAGACAGGUAGAGGCGAGCGGAAUUCCGGGUGUAGCGGUGGAAUGCGUAGAGAUCCGGAAGAACACCGGAGGCGAAGGCGGCUCGCUGGACCUGAUCUGACGCUGAGGUGCGAAAGCGUGGGGAGCGAACAGG
rnacentral:rRNA from 1 species